UACGGAGGGGGCAAGCGUUGUUCGGAAUUACUGGGCGUAAAGGGCUCGUAGGUGGCCAACUAAGUCAGACGUGAAAUCCCCAGGCUCAACUUGGGAACCGCGUCUGAUACUGGAUGGCUUGAAUUCGGGAGAGGGAUGCAGAAUUCCAGGUGUAGCGGUGAAAUGCGUAGAUAUCUGGAGGAAUACCGGUGGCGAAGGCGGCAUCCUGGACCGAGAUUGACACUGAUGAGCGAAAGCUAGGGGAGCAAACGGG
rnacentral:rRNA from 1 species